ACGGAAACGAUGGGAGCUUGCUCCCAGGCGUCGAGUGGCGGACGGGUGAGUAAUACUUAGGAAUCUGCCCAGUAGUGGGGGACAACUCGAGGAAACUCGAGCUAAUACCGCAUACGCCCCAAGGGGGAAAGCGGAGGAUCUUUCGGGACUUCGCGCUAUUGGAUGAGCCUAAGUCGGAUUAGCUUGUUGGUGAGGUAAAAGCUCACCAAGGCGACGAUCCGUAGCUGGUCUGAGAGGACGAUCAGCCACACUGGGACUGAGACACGGCCCAGACUCCUACGGGAGGCAGCAGUGGGGAAUAUUGGACAAUGGGGGAAACCCUGAUCCAGCAAUGCCGCGUGUGUGAAGAAGGCCUGCGGGUUGUAAAGCACUUUCAGUAGAGAAGAAAAGCCUAGGGUUAAUACCCCUGGGUCUUGACGUUACCUACAGAAGAAGCUCCGGCUAACUCCGUGCCAGCAGCCGCGGUAAUACGGAGGGAGCGAGCGUUAAUCGGAAUUACUGGGCGUAAAGCGCGCGUAGGCGGCUUUGUAAGUCGGAUGUGAAAGCCCUGGGCUCAACCUGGGAAUGGCAUUCGAUACUGCUUGACUAGAGUAUGGUAGAGGGAAGUGG
rnacentral:rRNA from 1 species